rnacentral:rRNA from 1 species
GAUGAACGCUGGCGGCGUGCCUAAUACAUGCAAGUCGAGCGAACAGAUAAGGAGCUUGCUCCUUUGACGUUAGCGGCGGACGGGUGAGUAACACGUGGGUAACCUACCUAUAAGACUGGAAUAACUCCGGGAAACCGGGGCUAAUGCCGGAUAACAUUUAGAACCGCAUGGUUCUAAAGUGAAAGAUGGUUUUGCUAUCACUUAUAGAUGGACCCGCGCCGUAUUAGCUAGUUGGUAAGGUAACGGCUUACCAAGGCAACGAUACGUAGCCGACCUGUGAGGCUGGUCGGCCACACGAGAACUGAGACACGGUCCAGACUCCUACGGGAGGCAGCAGUAGGGAAUCGGACGCAAUAGGCGAAAGCCUGACGGAGCAACGCCGCGUGAGUGAUGAAGGUCUUCGGAGCGUAAAACUCUGUUAUUAGUGAAGAACAAAUGUGUAAGUAGAUGUGGACGUAUUGACGGUACCUGAUCAGAAAGCCACGGCUAACUACGUG